GACGGACGCUGGCGGCGUGCUUAACACAUGCAAGUCGAACGGAAAGGCCCUGCUUUUGUGGGGUGCUCGAGUGGCGAACGGGUGAGUAACACGUGAGUAACCUGCCCUUGACUUUGGGAUAACUUCAGGAAACUGGGGCUAAUACCGGAUAGGAGCUCCUGCUGCAUGGUGGGGGUUGGAAAGUUUCGGCGGUUGGGGAUGGACUCGCGGCUUAUCAGCUUGUUGGUGGGGUAGUGGCUUACCAAGGCUUUGACGGGUAGCCGGCCUGAGAGGGUGACCGGCCACAUUGGGACUGAGAUACGGCCCAGACUCCUACGGGAGGCAGCAGUGGGGAAUAUUGCACAAUGGGCGGAAGCCUGAUGCAGCAACGCCGCGUGCGGGAUGACGGCCUUCGGGUUGUAAACCGCUUUCGCCUGUGACGAAGCGUAAGUGACGGUAAUGGGUAAAGAAGCACCGGCUAACUACGUG
rnacentral:rRNA from 1 species